rnacentral:rRNA from 1 species
GACGAACCGUGCGAACGUUAUUCGGAAUCACUGGGCUUAAAGGGCGCGUAGGCGGGCCGCCAAGUCAGGGGUGAAAUCCCACGGCUCAACCGUGGAAGUGCCUUUGAUACUGGCGGCCUCGAGGGAGGCAGGGGCGUGCGGAACUUUGGGUGGAGCGGUGAAAUGCGUAGAUAUCCAAAGGAACACCGGUGGCGAAAGCGGCGCGCUGGACCUCUUCUGACGCUGAGGCGCGAAAGCCAGGGGAGCAAACGGGG